rnacentral:lncRNA from 1 species
AAGCAAAGAAGAUACCUCACCUUGGUAAGCAGAGGUUAUAUCUGACCUGGUGCCGGCCCAUUCACAGAGGACACGCUCUCUGUUUAAAAGACAGGUUAAGCUAGCAGAGGACCAUUAGUGUUUCAUGGUGAUCUAUCCAGGGCUGUUUUCUGGAGGUGUGAGAUGAGGCUUCCCUGCUGCAGCCCUGACCACAGUAGCAUUUCUUGUUCACCAAGCCCAGAGCUAAUGAUGGCACCGACUGAAGGAGGAAUAAUGAGGACUGUUUUGUACAGCUGAACAUCAGAGUCAAAAGGUAGAAAUGUGUGUGGGAGGGAUAUGACUUCUGUGUUUACAAACUGUAUUAGUGUAUUCUGUACUUACGAGCUAUAGUUCCUACAUGAACUAUAUAUUCUGAAUUGAGAAUACCAAUUCUGUAAAACUAGAUCCAAAUCUGUGUUUGGGAACACUACUGUAAGUUCUGGGCAGUAGAGAAAAGGGGAUUGUGACAGCAUCUGGUGCCAGACUCGAGAGAUGUGCUGCUCUGUUCCUCCAAUGCUAGCAGAGUUAUCAGCUUUCUUGUGAGCAAGAUGCCUGUCUCCCCAUUAUUUUUUUUCCAUAGAAAUGCACAAUUCCCUGUUGACACUAUGGAAGAACUAACUUAGAGGACAUUUGUGCCACAGUCACAGAAAUUAUGAGAAUAUGAGUGUCAGCUGAAAAACUGAGCUCUGCUUACAAAUAGAAAACAUCACAAAUUCAGGCAUCCUCUUUUGCCUGAGCUUUUCGUUGAGGUUCAUUGAGGUCUGUGAUGUUCUAAAGUGAAGGGCUGGGCUGGUUACUCUUGUGAGGUGUGGCUGAAGUCCUGAUGUGCU